CAUCACCUCUAGCAUACCAAGUAUGAGAGGCACUGCCUGCCCAGUGACUAGCGUUAAACGGCCGCGGUAUCCUGACCGUGCAAAGGUAGCAUAAUCAUUUGUUCCUUAAUUAGGGACUGGAAUGAACGGCUUGACGAGGGUUUAACUGUCUCUUAUUUCCAAUCAGUGAAAUUGACCUCCCCGUGAAGAGGCGGGGAUUACAAAAUAAGACGAGAAGACCCUAUGGAGCUUUAAUUUACUAGUUUAAUCCCAACAACAAACAACCUAUUGGCCUAACAUACAAAAAUAUAAACUAGUAAUUUUGGUUGGGGUGACCUCGGAGCACAAAAAAACCUCCGAAUGAUUCUAACUAAGACACACAAGUCUAAGUAACUAAGUAUCUUAUUGACCCAAAAAUCUUUUUGAUCAACGGACCAAGUUACCCUAGGGAUAACAGCGCAAUCCUAUUCAAGAGUCCAUAUCGACAAUUAGGGUUUACGACCUCGAUGUUGGAUCAGGACAUCCCAAUGGUGCAGAAGCUAUUAAUGGUUCGUUUGUUCAACGAUUAAAG
rnacentral:rRNA from 1 species